rnacentral:rRNA from 1 species
UACGGGGGGGCAAGCGUUGUUCGGAAUUACUGGGCGUAAAGGGCUCGUAGGUGGCCAACUAAGUCAGACGUGAAAUCCCUCGGCUUAACCGGGGAACUGCAUCUGAUACUGGAUGGCUUGAGUUUGGGAGAGGGAUGCGGAAUUCCAGGUGUAGCGGUGAAAUGCGUAGAUAUCUGGAGGAACACCGGUGGCGAAGGCGGCAUCCUGGACCAACACUGACACUGAGGAGCGAAAGCCAGGGGAGCAAACGGG